UGGUGGAGUGAUUUGUCUGGUUAAUUCCGUUAACGAACGAGACCGCGUCCUGCUAAAUAGUUGUCAUAAUCUUCUAGAUUGUGUCAUACUUCUUAGAGGGACUAUCGGCUGGUGUACCCGAUGGAAGUUCGCGGCAAUAACA
rnacentral:rRNA from 1 species